ACAUUGAAAUACCAGUUCUCAUAUGAUCAUGAAGUUAAGCAAUGUUGAGCCUGGUCAGUAACCAGAUAGGUAACCACUUGGGAAUACCAGGUGCUGUAU